GAAUAAGUGAUGGGCAAGACCGGUGCCAGCAGCCGCGGUAAUACCAGCACCUCAAGUGGUCAGGAGGAUUAUUGGGCCUAAAGCAUCCGUAGCCUGUCCUGUAAGUUUCCGGUUAAAUCCAUUUGCUCAACAAAUGGGCUGCCGAAAAUACUGCAGGACUAGGGAGUGGGAGAGGUAGACGGUACUCGGUAGGAAGGGGUAAAAUCCUUUGAUCUAUUGAUGACCACCUGUGGCGAAGGCGGUCUACCAGAACACGUUCGACGGUGAGGGAUGAAAGCUGGGGGAGCAAACCGGAUUAGAUACCCGGGUAGUCCCAGCUGUAAACGAUGCAGACUCGGUGAUGCCCUGGCUUGUGGCCAGUGCAGUGCCGCA
rnacentral:rRNA from 2 species